rnacentral:lncRNA from 1 species
UUAUAUUUGGACAAGUAUUGAAAGUUUUGCUUAUCAUAUUAAUGUUAAUUUUUGUUUGCUUUGCAAUCUUGCAGGCCAUCUCAUUGAAGAGAUUACUGGUGAAAUAUUCACAGAUUGGCAAUUGGUGCCAGACUGGUUCUAUUUGAGAAGUCUCAAAAUUUAUGAUUGCAUUUUGGUUUUUGAACGAAGAGGAAGAUAUCUCCAUCAAAAAAGCAGAACACAAAAGAAUCUUUUGCAAUAAAUGUUAAGAUUUCUACUGGCUGUUAAAAUAGUUAAUCCUACAAAUUGAAUAUUUAAAUUAGAAGAAUGUAUUAAAUAAAUACAAUUUGAUUCAAAAAUAUGAAAAUUGU